rnacentral:lncRNA from 1 species
GAAACUUCCAUUUCUGGCUUUCUAGGUUCACAGGAUAACUUCCACGAAGGCUCACUUUGUCCUUCUCAACCAUCUCUCCUUGAAAGCUCUUUUACAAGGAAUGCUGAACUGGAGCAUCAGGCCUCUGCUGCUCCUCUGCUGCUCCUCUGCUGCUCCUCUGCUGCUGCUCAGUGAUGUGAGAAGCAGGCAGAAGGAAAGGCCAGAAAGGUGAAUCUUCUGUUCUGGGUGGAUUUCUGAAGGACAUUCAGCAAACCGAGACCAUCUUCACUCCAGAGUCAAGAUGGGGAAGCCCAUCAUUUCUCACACUUGCUGCACUCUCCUUUCAACAUUGCCACUGAUAACACAUUUGAGCUGUGGGAGAAGAGAGACUCAGUCUCCAGAACUUCACCUAAAUGAAAGAGAUAAAGCUGCUUUAGGAAUUUGGCAAUAUGGAGCUCCCAGUGAAACAAAAAGGAACAAUUGAGGAAAGUAAGGAAUCAGAUCUUCAAAAUGUCUUCUAGCCUUAGUUCUGAUUUAUGCAGUUCUAGCCCUAGUUCUGAUUUGCACAGAUUUCUCACUGGGCUUUAGUCCACCCAUUUGUAUAAUAAAUGCAUUGUGCUAAAUAAUGUCUGAAGUUAUUUUGUUUAGCAGCUGAUCCAUUUAACAUGUAUAAAGAGCCCUUUCUGUGCCCAUUAUGCAUAAUAUGAAAUAAUUACAUGUGUAUACAUUAUAACUCAGAAUGU